AGUGAACGCUGGCGGUAGGCCUAACACAUGCGAGUCGAACGGCAGCACAGUAAGAGCUUGCUCUUACGGGUGGCGAGUGGCGGACGGGUGAGGAAUACAUCGGAAUCUACUUUUUCGUGGGGGAUAACGUAGGGAAACUUACGCUAAUACCGCAUACGACCUACGGGUGAAAGCAGGGGAUCUUCGGACCUUGCGCGAUUGAAUGAGCCGAUGUCGGAUCAGCUAGUUGGCGGGGUAAAGGCCCACCAAGGCGACGAUCCGUAGCUGGUCUGAGAGGAUGAUCAGCCACACUGGAACUGAGACACGGUCCAGACUCCUACGGGAGGCAGCAGUGGGGAAUAUUGGACAAUGGGCGCAAGCCUGAUCCAGCCAUACCGCGUGGGUGAAGAAGGCCUUCGGGUUGUAAAGCCCUUUUGUUGGGAAAGAAAAGCAGCAGGUUAAUACCCCGCUGUUCUGACGGUACCCAAAGAAUAAGCACCGGCUAACUUCGUG
rnacentral:rRNA from 1 species